rnacentral:rRNA from 1 species
AAGUUGUUGCGGUUAAAAGCUCGUAGUUCGAGCUCAGUUCCGGACUGGCCGGGGAGGUCACCGCCCGGUGCUUCCCCGUCAGGCUCCGAACAGCCUUCGUGAGCGGAGGCCAAGCCGGUUCUGCCGGGGUGCUCUUUACCGAGUGUCCCGCGCGGCCGGCCAGUUCACCUUGAAUAAAUGAGAGUGCUCAAAGCAGGCUACUCUCGAAUACAAUGCCCGAAUGUUACCUGCAUGGAAUGAUGGAAGAUGAUCUCGGUUCCAUUUUAUUGGUGGUGGGAGCCCGAGGUAAUGAUAAACAGGGACUGUCGGGGGCAUCCGUACUACGACGCGAGAGGUGAAAUUCAGUGACCGUCGUAGGACGAACAACAGCGAAAGCAUUUGCCAAGAAUGUCUUCGUUGAUCAAGAACGAAAGUUAGAGGAUCGAAGGCGAUCAGAUACCGCCCUAGUUCUAACCCUAAACGAUGCUGACUAGCAAUUCGCCGUCGUUAUUCCCAUGACGUGGCGAGACGCCCCCGGGAAACCUCAAGUCUUUGAGUUCCGGGGGUAGUAUGGUUGCAAAACUGAAACUUAAANNNNNNGACGGAAGGGCACCACCAGGAGUGGAGCCUGCGGCUUAAUUUGACUCAACACGGGAAACCUCACCAGGCCCGGACACCAGAAGGAUUGACAGAUUAAGAGCUCUUUCUCGAUUUGGUGGGUGGUGGUGCAUGGCCGUUCUUAGUUGGUGGAGUGAUUUGUCUGGUUAAUUCCGGUAACGAACGAGACUCUGGCCUACUAAAUAGUCGACGGGCGUUUUGGUGCAUGGGCCCCGUUCGACACAGUCUUCUUAGAGGGAUGAGCAGCGAGUAUAGCUGCAGGAGAUUGAGCAAUAACAGGUCUGUGAUGCCCUUAGAUGUCCUGGGCCGCACGCGCGCUACACUGAAUGGGUUAGCGGGUUGUCCUUCUCCGAGAGGAGCGGGAAAUCGCUUGAAAACCAUUCGUGAUAGGGAUUGGGGCUUGCAAUUGUUUCCCAUGAACGAGGAAUUCCCAGUAAGCGCAAGUCAUCAGCUUGCGUUGAUUAAGUCCCUGCCCUUUGUACACACCGCCCGUCGCUACUACCGAUUGAAUGAUUUAGUGAGGCCUUCGGACUGGCGGUCUUGGACUGGGGCGCCGGCGUUUCUCAGCAAUGGGGACCCGGCGACCCGCCUAGACGGGCCGGAAAGAUGUCCAAACUUGAUCAUUUAGAGGAAGUAAAAGUCGUAACAAGGUUUCCGUAGGU